GCAACAGCACUGUUGAUACCAGGAAACUGUUCAAGCUGACCAAUUUAGCUGUGUUAGACUCUCUGCUAGUGUGUUCCCAUAGCAUGUUUUCAUGUUAGUGACAUUGGUGCACUAUUUCUCAAUGUAUCACCUUUUCUCUUUUAGGACCAUCACGGCCCAAGAACAUGACAUAUUCUCCAUCGAUCUCUUCAAUUUCAGACAAACGUGGGUUUUUGAAAAGAAACCGCACAGCUCUGGUUAGCCAGGUGAAAAACGUGAAGGCCAUUGUCGAUGAUCUGCAGAGUGGAGGUUGUCAUGAUGAAAUGGCUGCCAUCGUGAAUGCCCAGUUGACACCACAAUAAAUGAUGAGGAAGCUCCUGGAUAGCGCGACCAGCACCGGGGCUGCUAACGCCCUGAUUCAAGCCCUCCUAACUCAGAUGGAUGUCAUGGAUGACCUGAUUACUGAAAAUGCUUGAAGAGGUCAAUUGGUUCUUCAUUAUAAUUGAUCUAUUUUUUACCUUUUUUAUAUCACUUUCUUAUUCAUCUUAGCCACCAGCCUGGUCUCAUAGACUAGUCAACUUACAUCUGGGACACUCAGAAUAGUAUAAUAUGCUACAGUACAUUUGGUAUUGUAUGUUUACAUUAAAUGAAUGUAGAGUG